CCUACGGGAGGCUGCAGUGGGGAAUAUUGCACAAUGGGCGCAAGCCUGAUGCAGCCAUGCCGCGUGUGUGAAGAAGGCCUUCGGGUUGUAAAGCACUUUCAGCGGGGAGGAAGGCGUUAAGGUUAAUAACCUUGGCGAUUGACGUUACCCGCAGAAGAAGCACCGGCUAACUCCGUGCCAGCAGCCGCGGUAAUACGGAGGGUGCAAGCGUUAAUCGGAAUUACUGGGCGUAAAGCGCACGCAGGCGGUCUGUCAAGUCGGAUGUGAAAUCCCCGGGCUCAACCUGGGAACUGCAUUCGAAACUGGCAGGCUAGAGUCUUGUAGAGGGGGGUAGAAUUCCAGGUGUAGCGGCGAAAUGCGUAGAGAUCUGGAGGAAUACCGGUGGCGAAGGCGGCCCCCUGGACAAAGACUGACGCUCAGGCACGAAAGCGUGGGGAGCAAACAGGAUUAGAUACCCGUGUAGUC
rnacentral:rRNA from 1 species